AACGAACGCUGGCGGCAUGCCUAACACAUGCAAGUCGAACGAGACCUUCGGGUCUAGUGGCGCACGGGUGCGUAACGCGUGGGAACCUGCCCUUAGGUUCGGAAUAACUCCCCGAAAGGGGUGCUAAUACCGGAUAAUGUCUUCGGACCAAAGAUUUAUCGCCUUUGGAUGGGCCCGCGUUGGAUUAGCUAGUUGGUAGGGUAAAAGCCUACCAAGGCGACGAUCCAUAGCUGGUCUGAGAGGAUGAUCAGCCACACUGGGACUGAUACACGGCCCAGACUCCUACGGGAGGCAGCAGUAGGGAAUAUUGGACAAUGGGCGAAAGCCUGAUCCAGCAAUGCCGCGUGAGUGAUGAAGGCCUUAGGGUUGUAAAGCUCUUUUACCCGGGAUGAUAAUGACAGUACCGGGAGAAUAAGCUCCGGCUAACUCCGUG
rnacentral:rRNA from 1 species